GUUGCAACUUUCAAUUCAAUCUGUGGUCACAAACAUGAAGAAAUAACACAGAACCCGAUAAAAUAUCACUUUCUAAGGUGGGAGACACUAGUCUUCUCGCUAUGCUGGUAAUGAUAAUAACAUGAAAUUACGCAGGCUGCACUGAAAGAAUACCUAAGCAACACACAUAACCCCUGCAAGGCAGCUUUCAACCAAUAGGUAGG